AAAGAUUAAGCCAUGCAUGUCUAAGUAUAAGCAAUUAUACAGCGAAACUGCGAAUGGCUCAUUAUAUAAGUUAUCGUUUAUUUGAUAGUGCCUUACUACUUGGAUAACCGUGGUAAUUCUAGAGCUAAUACAUGCUGAAAGCCCCGACUCACGGAGGGGCGUAUUUAUUAGAUUAAAAACCAAUGCCCUUCGGGGCUCCUUGGUGAUUCAUGAUAACUUCUCGAAUCGCACGGCCUUGCGCCGGCGAUGGUUCAUUCAAAUUUCUUCCCUAUCAACUUUCGAUGUUUGGGUAGUGGCCAAACAUGGUGGCAACGGGUAACGGAGGGUUAGGGCUCGACCCCGGAGAAGGAGCCUGAGAAACGGCUCCUACAUCCAAGGAAGGCAGCAGGCGCGCAAAUUACCCAAUCCCGACUCGGGGAGGUAGUGACAAUAAAUACUGAUGCAGGGCUCUUUAGGGUCUUGCAAUUGGAAUGAGUACAAUUUAAAUCCCUUAACGAGGAACAAUUGGAGGGCAAGUCUGGUGCCAGCAGCCGCGGUAACUCCAGCUCCAAUAGCGUAUAUUAAAGUUGUUGUGGUUAAAAAGCUCGUAGUUGAACCUUGGGCCUGGCCGUCCGGUCCGCCUCACCGCGUGCACUGGCACGGCCGGGCCUUCCCACCGCGGAAUCGCAUGCCCUUUACUGGGCGUGUCGGGGAAGCGGUACUUUUACUGUGAAAAAAUUAGAGUGCUCUAAGCAGGCCUAUGCUCGAAUACAUUAGCAUGGAAUAAUAGAAUAGGACAGGCGUUCUAUUUUGUUGGUUUCUAGGACGUCUGUAAUGAUUAACAGAAACAAUCGGGGGCGUCAGUAUUGCAUCGUCAGAGGUGAAAUUCUUAGAUCGACGCAAGACUAACUACUGCGAAAGCAUUCGCCAAGGGUGUUUUCAUUAAUCAGGAACGAAAGUUAGGGGAUCGAAGACGAUCAGAUACCGUCGUAGUCUUAACCAUAAACUAUGCCGACUAGGGAUCGGGCGGUGUUAAUUUUUGACCCGCUCGGCACCUUACGAGAAAUCUUAAGUGCUUGGGCUCCAGGGGGAGUAUGGUCGCAAGGAUAUUUUUAGGAUUGACAGAUUGAGAGCUCUUUCAUGAUUAAAUAGAUGGUGGUGCAUGGCCGUUCUUAGUUCGUGGUAUGAACUGUCAGCUCAAUUGCGAUAACGAACGAGACCGCGACUGCUAAAUAGCCCGCGCCGCCCCGGCGGCGUGCCGGCUUCUUAGUGGGACUAUCGGCUCAAGCCGAUGGAGGUACGCGUCAAUAACAGGUCUGUGAUGCCCUUAGAUAUCCUGAGCCGCACGCGCGUUACACUGGCAGGGCCAGCGAGUUUUUCCUUGGCCGAGAGGCCCGGGUAAUCUUGUUAAACCCUGCCGUGCUGGGGACAGGGCAUUGUAAUUAUUGCCCUCGAACGAGGAAUCCCUAGUAAGCGCGAGUCAUCAGCUCGCGUUGAUUACGUCCCUGCCCUUUGUACACACCGCCCGUCGCUACUACCGAUUGGACGGCUUAGUGAGGCCUUCGGACUGGACGGCGGAGGCGGGCAACCGCCACCGCUGACCGGAAAGUUGUACGAACUUGGUCGUCUAGAGGAAGUAAAAGUCGUAAC
rnacentral:rRNA from 1 species